AGUUCGAUCAUGGCUCAGAUUGAACGCUGGCGGGAUACUUUACACAUACAAGUCGAACGGCAGCACGGACUUCGGUCUGGUGGCGGUGAACGGGUAGGUAAUGUAUCGGAACGUACCCUGAAAACAACGCGGGGAUAACUACGCGAAAGCGUAGCUAAUACCGCAUACGCCCUUCGAGGAAAGCAGGGGACCUUCGGACCACUCGCACUAUUGAAACGGCCGAUAUCGGAUUAGCUAGUUGGUGGGGUAACGGCUCACCAAGGCGACGAUCCGUAGCUGGUUUAAGAGGACGACCAGCUACACUGGGACUGAGACACGGCCCAGACUCUACGGAGAACAUGAUGGGGAAUUUUGGACAAUGGGGAAACCUGAUCCAGCCAUCCCGUGUGCGAUGAAGGCGGGUUGUAAAGCACUUUUGGCAGGAAAGAAACGGCACGGGAUAAUACCCCGUGCAACUGACCGUACCUGCAGAAUAAGCACCAGCUAACUACGUGCCAGCAACCGCGGUAAUACGUAGGGUGCAAGCGUUAAAGCAUCGGAAUUACUGGGCGUAAAGCGUGCGCAGGCCGGUUCGGAAAGAAGAUCAUGAAAUCCCAAGAGCUUAACUUUAGAUUCAUUUUUAACUACCGAGCUAGAGUGUGUCAGAGGGAGGUGGAAUUCCUGUGUAGCAGUGAAAUGCGUAGAUAUGCGGAGGAACACCGAUGGCAGAGGCAGCACUCCUGAGGAUACUUUGGCGCUCAUGCACGAAAGCGUGGGGAGCAAACAGGAUUAGAUACCCUGGUAGUCCACGCCUAAACGAUAUCGAAAACUAGCUGUUGGGGCCUUCAGGCCUUGGUAGCGCAGCUAACGCGUGAAGUUGACCGCCUGGGGAAGUACGGUCGCCAAGAUUAAAACUCAAAGGAAUUGACGGGGGACCCGCACAAGCGGUGGAUGAUGUGGAUUAAUUCGAUGCAGCGCGAAAAACCUUACUACACCCUUGACAUGUCUGGAAUCCCGAAGAGAUUUGGGAGUGCUCGCCAAGAGAACCGGAACACAGGUGCUGCAUGGCUGUCGUCAGCUCGUGUCGUGAGAUGUUGGGUUAAGUCACAACACAGGCAACCCUUGUCGACUGAUUGCUACGAAAGACACUCUAAUAGAGACUGCCGGUAGCAAACCGGAGGAAGGUGGGGAUGACGUCAAGUCCUCAUGGCCCUUAUGGGUAGGGCUUCACACGUCCAUACAAUGGUCGGGACAGAGGGUCGCCAACCCGCGAGGGAGCCAAUCCGAAACCCAGUCAUCGUCCGGAUCUGAUCUGCAACUCGACCGUGAAGUGGAAUCGCUGGUAAUCGCGGAUCAGCAUGCGGUGAAUACGUUCCGGGUCUUGUACCGCCCGUCACACCAUGGGAGUGGGUUUUUACCAAGAAGUAGUUAACUAUACGUAAGGAAGGCGAUUACCACGGUAGGAUUCAUGACUGGGGUGAAGUCGUAACUAAAGUAGCUAUUACUGCA
rnacentral:rRNA from 1 species